CUUGUGCACAUACACUUAAAAAAAAAAAAGAAAAUUAUCCACCCUGUCAUGGCCAUAUCUUAUGCAUCUGUGGAUAGACCUUGGCAUUCUGAUCUCUUGAUCCAAAAGCUGGCUAGCAAUGUGCAAUGUCACCUUUCGAGCAAGGAUGAGGUUUCUACAUCCAGUCGUCAUGAUGAAGAAGAAGCUCGGUGAAAAGUGUAGCUUUUGAAUUGUCUAUGGUCCCACCAUCACCUAAGGUUCCAAGUCAUGGAACAUCAUCACGGAUACAAGUGGCACAAAUGAGUUUUCGCCGCAGAAUAUCCGGCCUUUCCCUUAGAGAUCAGGUGAGAAUCUCAGUCAUCGCAGAGGUGAGCUGCUACUUUGACAUCUGGUUAGGAUGCCUCCCUGAACGCCUCAAGAUGUUGCGGCCACGGCACAAUGAUUUAGUCUUUGUCAUAUUUCAUAGAAUAUGCAAAGAAAACGUUCUCAUUCAUUCACGUUUCCAUUUUGAACUCAAGUAACACUUUCCGAACCAAACAAUAUGUGAGUGAUUUAAUCUUACAUUACAUUAUUAUAUGAAUAUUUUUUGAAAACAUUAUUCUAACUUUUCCCGCCUUUAUGACAAAUCUCCAUUCAUCUACGGUAUCCGUCUGCUUUCCCUGUGCUCCGUUGUCAAGGGAAUGCAGCCAUUUAGGUAGCUCAUGAAUACUAAACACAACAAGUCCUUCAAGGGGCUACAAUACUAAAUAGCUUCAUUGCUACUGUAAUGUAUGGAACUUACUAGGCAUGAGUGGCACUCCAGCAUGAGAAACAUUAUUAUCAUUAUGUUUGCAGUAAUUACCUCAAUCUGUGGUCAAUCCUGCGAGUCCUAUCAAUCCAAUGGCAAUGAAGCAAGAUGAAUAAAGGAACAGUGAUAAACAUGACAGUCAUUCAUCAUCAUCAUCCUCAUGGUUACUGGCGAUCAUUGUUCCUGUCCAUACAUGUUCUUGUCUGCUGACCUUUCAGGAGAACAAAAUAGGCAAAACGUUAACCCAACGACGCUGUCUGAAAUAAAAUCUUGUGUUCUGACAUUAUGUAAACUGACUUUGGAAAUUGUGACACUAAAAUUCUGGUCAGAUUGUUUAACCUUCUGGGCAUUCGAACUUCAAGUCAACACCAAUUAAGAUGUCAAGUGAAGAAAGGGCAAUAUUCCUUCAACAAUGUUGUGAUGUGAGACAAUGUCAAAACAGAGCUGCAGGGACAGGGCAUACUGUAGAUUGCAUCUGGCAUACAUAUAUGGCCCAUAAAUACUAAUUCCAUAUCUUCUUAUCCCAAUGUAUAAUUAAUACAUUGUCAAUUACUUAUGAAGGAUACAAUGAGGCAAGUAUUGUCAACCCAGACAUGAAACAAAUCUAAGCAUGGAAGACAGGCAGAACUACUUGUAUGUAGAAGCGUGUGCGUGUUACAUAUUUGAAUACAGUAUUUAUUUUCUUCUCUUAACCCUCAAGGGCUCCGGUUCAUCUAAAAAGGUGAAUGCCGGCCGGUCUCACUUUUUCACAUGUAGAAAAAGAAUAGAACUCCCAUGGCCUUUGUGCCUAUCUUUUUUUGUGCUGGUCUAAUUCUACAUUGAGGGGAAGCCAAUGCAAGCAUGUCGGCAUUGUCGUAGCACAGCGGAUGUUUGCAUGGCUGUAUUGUAGAUGUGGAAAAAGACAAGCGAUGGUCGUGUUAGGGUGAAUGUUGUGAUCUGAUACGUAAUGCUCUAUCAUGUCCAUCUCACCCAACUAUGUAAUACAGCACUGGGGACUUGUCCAUUAUCAGCAAAUAGCUGUUGUUAUACUCCCUUCACACUCGACUACAUCCAAGCUUUCCUCUCCAUCCCAUUCUCUCAUCUUUCCUCUUUUUAUGCACAGCCAUCCUUGCUCACUAUCAUUUCAUCUGCCCGCAUCAGCUGCACAAUUGCAAUCAAUGCCUUCACUGCAUUUUAGAUUCAAAGGUGGAUAAAAAAAAUGUAUGUCAGUAUAAGCAUGGAGGCAUUUUUUUUCAUGCGUCCAUCUAUCAUGGGAUGUUGUUACCAAGGCAACACUGACAACAUCCAUUGAGCACUGUGUUAGCAAGAAACGCCCACAUAUGGAUGGCCAACAUGCUUUAAGGAGGAAACUAGGUCGAGUGUAAAAGCUGUUGAUUGAUAGAUGUGUGAGCUGGAGCUGGGAAUGAACAGAGGAUCAGAAAAGAAGAGUGGGAGGUCUGUGUCAUUGCGCAGACAUCCUGGAACAUUGGCCAUGGACGGCAUACCUAAUGGCCGCUCGCAUGAAUUAUGACUCACUGCAGCUGUAAGACAAUGAAGGGUACACACGCUUACAAGAUGACAUUGACACAUAGCCUAUUUUGGCCUGCUUUUAAAGGGCUAAAAUCAGAUUUAUUUACAUUCUGCCGUGAACCUGGAGAAAUACUAAUAGUAGAAGUAGAAGCAUCUUGUAGAUUUUUAAAGGAUGCCUAACAAAAGUGCUCUCAUUGAAGGUUUCUUGUUAGUGUGCUGCAAGGCAAAAUUUCAGACCUUCCUGAAGCAAAAGGGAAUAUUUACAUUGACAACAUGGCAAGAUUUUUGUUUGCUUUCGAAUGACAUUUGGUAAAAGAUGACUGAUAUCUCGUCCACUCUCUAUGAGGCACAAUUUGGCAUUUGAGUCAAAUAACACACUCACGCCUCUUUGGAAGGCGGUAGAACCAUAAAUCAACCAUACAUCCAAGACUGUGAAAGCAACUAAAGUAAACCAAGAUUUUUCUAGAGGUAUUUAAAAAGCCCUAGUACUUUGACUAGUGUCUCCAAAAUGGACAACAUUUUGAAUCCUUUGAGACCUCACAGAUCACCAUGACUGAACUGAUUGGUAAACAGAUCCUGUGAAUGUUGUUCUCUCAGUCCAAACUGCUUCUUCUACCGUAGUGUGUUCUCCUCUCUUGGAAUUGUACACUGCAGUAAUCUCUCAUGCACGUUUUAUUUUACACUAGGUGGGUGCUGAUUGGUCACAGCUUUCCGACAAGUAGUAAAUAUCAGCAAAGCAAGUGAUUGGUAUAUGCAGCUGGUCAAAGGUCAAGCAUGUCUUUCCUAAGCACUCAAUGUGAUUUAGUGAUUGAUUUUUCUCACUGCUAAUCUGUGAAGGCUUUGCAAGGAUGCCUCAUUUUUCAUUGGUAAUGGAAGAUUUCAUUCUUAUUUUUAAUGGGAUUUUAAUGUUUAAAUUUAUGGAUUCGGUGUUCCAAUCUUUCAAAGUUGCCCAAACUAUUUUAGCGCUACGUUAAUCACACUUAUAACCAAAAACAAAUCUUGUACACAAGGAAGACCCUAAAUCCAAUCAUUUCUUGCUCUCCUCAUAAACUGCUUAUCUCAGUGCAACAUAUGCUGAGUGCAAAUGUCUUCACCGCUAAUAAACAACUCAAUUUUGUGGUGAGAUGAGGUGAAAAGCGGAGGGCUUCUCACAGUUGUGGCUGUCGAGAGAGCGAGGUAGUUGUGGUGCGUGAGAGCAAGUGGGUUGGCACAACUCUUAAUGGAGGCGAGCAAACAGUUAUCAUCCUAAGUAGCUGACUUAUUUUAAUAUGCUUGCGUGCAAAGGCGUGCAUGGCAGUGUAGAUGCGGAGAGAGAGAUAGAAGGACCGAGGCAAAGCGAUUAAAGAUGAGAAGAAAGUAGGUCAAAAUCCCAUGUUGGAUACUUUAUCAAUUUAUUUAAUAUCAAUUUAUCAACAGCUUGGGUCAUCAACCUGUAAGAUUUGACCGAAUCAUUCAAUGAGAAUGAAUGGUCUAAAGAUUUCUAGUAAAAGUGGGCAAUGAUUUUUGUUCUGUUGUCAAUCGUGGCAUUC